UACAGAGGGUGCGAGCGUUAAUCGGAAUUACUGGGCGUAAAGCGCACGUAGGUGGCGACGUAAGUCGGGUGUGAAAGCCCCGGGCUCAACCUGGGAAUUGCAUUCGAGACUGCAUUGCUGGAGUACGGAAGAGGAAGGCGGAAUUCCCGGUGUAGUGGUGAAAUGCGUAGAUAUCGGGAGGAACACCAGUGGCGAAGGCGACUACCUGGCCUGUUCUUGACGCUGAGGCGCGAAAGCUAGGGGAGCAAACGGG
rnacentral:rRNA from 1 species